rnacentral:rRNA from 1 species
GACGAACGCGGCGGCGUGCCUAAUACAUGCAAGUAGAACGCUGAAGGAGGAGCUUGCUUCUCUGGAUGAGUUGCGAACGGGUGAGUAACGCGUAGGUAACCUGCCUGGUAGCGGGGGAUAACUAUUGGAAACGAUAGCUAAUACCGCAUAAUAGCAGUUAUUGCAUGAUAACUGUUUAAAAGGUGCAAUUGCACCACUACCAGAUGGACCUGCGUUGUAUUAGCUAGUUGGUGGGGUAACGGCUCACCAAGGCGACGAUACAUAGCCGACCUGAGAGGGUGAUCGGCCACACUGGGACUGAGACACGGCCCAGACUCCUACGGGAGGCAGCAGUAGGGAAUCUUCGGCAAUGGACGAAAGUCUGACCGAGCAACGCCGCGUGAGUGAAGAAGGUUUUCGGAUCGUAAAGCUCUGUUGUAAGAGAAGAACGAGUGUGAGAGUGGAAAGUUCACACUGUGACGGUAUCUACCAGAAGGG